AUUGAACGCUGGCGGCAUGCCUUACACAUGCAAGUCGAACGGCAGCACGGGAGCAAUCCUGGUGGCGAGUGGCGAACGGGUGAGUAAUAUAUCGGAACGUGCCCAGUCGUGGGGAUAACGUAGCGAAAGCUACGCUAAUACCGCAUACGAUCUAUGGAUGAAAGCGGGGGAUCGCAAGACCUCGCGCGAUUGGAGCGGCCGAUAUCAGAUUAGGUAGUUGGUGAGGUAAAGGCUCGCCAAGCCGACGAUCUGUAGCUGGUCUGAGAGGACGACCAGCCACACUGGGACUGAGACACGGCCCAGACUCCUACGGGAGGCAGGCAGUGGGGAAUUUUGGGACAAUGGGCGCAAGCCUGAUCCAGCCAAUGCCGCGUGCAGGAUGAAGGCCUU
rnacentral:rRNA from 1 species